rnacentral:rRNA from 1 species
AGUGAACGCUGGCGGUAGGCCUAACACAUGCAAGUCGAACGGCAGCACAGUAAGAGCUUGCUCUUACGGGUGGCGAGUGGCGGACGGGUGAGGAAUACAUCGGAAUCUACUUUUUCGUGGGGGAUAACGUAGGGAAUCUUACGCUAAUACCGCAUACGACCUACGGGUGAAAGCAGGGGAUCUUCGGACCUUGCGCGAUUGAAUGAGCCGGUGUCGGAUUAGCUAGUUGGCGGGGUAAAGGCCCACCAAGGCGACGAUCCGUAGCUGGUCUGAGAGGAUGAUCGGCCAAACUGGAACUGGGACAGGGCCCAGACCCCUAGGGAGGGCGGCGGGGGGAAAUAUUGACAAUGGGCGAAAGCCUGAUCCAGCCAUGCCGCGUGGGUGAAGAAGGUCUUCGGAUUUUAAAGCACUUUUUGUUGGGAAGAAAAGCAGGAAGUUAAUACCCCGCUGUUUUGACGUUACCCAAAGAAUAAGCCCCGGCUAACUUCGUG